rnacentral:rRNA from 1 species
UCGGGAAUUUUGGGCAAUGGGCGAAAGCCUGACCCAGCAACGCCGCGUGAAGGAUGAAGUAUUUCGGUAUGUAAACUUCGAAAGAAUAGGAAGAAUAAAUGACGGUACUAUUUAUAAGGUCCGGCUAACUACGUGCCAGCAGCCGCGGUAAUACGUAGGGACCAAGCGUUGUUCGGAUUUACUGGGCGUAAAGGGCGCGUAGGCGGCAUGACAAGUCACUUGUGAAAUCUCUGGGCUUAACCCAGAACGGCCAAGUGAUACUGUCGCGCUAGAGUGCAGAAGGGGCAAUCGGAAUUCUUGGUGUAGCGGUGAAAUGCGUAGAUAUCAAGAGGAACACCUGAGGUGAAGACGGGUUGCUGGGCUGACACUGACGCUGAGGCGCGAAAGCCAGGGGAGCAAACGGGAUUAGAUACCCUAGUAGUCCCUGAG